AUUAGAUCGCUUUGUGAUUUGUGGUUUGUGGCUCAAGAUUUCGUCCAUUUAAAUAUGGUUAGACAGAGGCCAGAAAGAGAAUACAGUAAUAUCUCUAGACGUUGCCUUUCCCAGACAGGGGGGCCUCGAGAGAGGAGGUGUAAAAAAAAGACAACUCACCUGAGUCAUAGAUGUUGGACUCAUCUAAAGAAUUUGACAGACUUGGAGAUUAGACGAGCGAUUCGCGAGAAUCGUGAUCAGCCACCGAGGGCAGCGAGGCGGGCCCCUUUACCUAGGGCACGA